UAGGUUGAAGCCAGUUGUUUAGGGUAUUUAGCUGUUAACUAAAUUUUCGUAGGUUUAUGUCCUACCAACCUAG
rnacentral:tRNA from 1 species